rnacentral:rRNA from 1 species
GAAGCGAAGCGGUGACGUGGAGCAAACCUCAGAAAGCCAAUCUCAGUUCGGAUUGUAGGCUGCAACUCGCCUACAUGAAGUUGGAAUCGCUAGUAAUCGCGAAUCAGAAUGUCGCGGUGAAUACGUUCCCGGGUCUUGUACACACCGCCCGUCACACCACGGGAGUUUACAACACCCGAAGUCAGUGGCCUAACCGCAAGGAGGGAGCUGCCUAAGGUGGGGUAGAUGAUUGGGGUGAAGUCGUAACAAGGUAAC